UACGAAGGGGGCUAGCGUUGCUCGGAAUUACUGGGCGUAAAGCGCACGUAGGCGGCUUUCUAAGUCGGGGGUGAAAUCCUGGAGCUCAACUCCAGAACUGCCUUCGAUACUGGAGAGCUUGAGUCCGGGAGAGGUGAGUGGAACUGCGAGUGUAGAGGUGAAAUUCGUAGAUAUUCGCAAGAACACCAGUGGCGAAGGCGGCUCACUGGCCCGGUACUGACGCUGAGGUGCGAAAGCGUGGGGAGCAAACAGGAUUAGAAACCCCCGGUGAG
rnacentral:rRNA from 1 species